AUUGAACGCUGGCGGCAGGCCUAACACAUGCAAGUCGAGCGAGUGGCGGACGGGUGAGUAAUGUCUGGGAAACUGCCCGAUGGAGGGGGAUAACUACUGGAAACGGUAGCUAAUACCGCAUACCAUCGGAUGUGCCCAGAUGGGAUGAACUUGUAGGUGGGGUAACGGCUCACCUAGGCGACGAUCCCUAGCUGGUAUGAGAGGAUUACCAGCCACACUGGAACUGCGACACGGUCCCGACGCCUAAGGGAGGCAGCAGUGGGGACUAUUGCACAAUGGGCGCAAGCCUGAUGCAGCCAUGCCGCGUGUAUGAAGAAGGCCUUCGGGUUGUAAAGUACUUUCAGCGGGGAGGCGUUACCCGCAGAAGAAGCACCGGCUAACUCCGUGCCAGCAGCCGCGGUAAUUC
rnacentral:rRNA from 1 species